rnacentral:rRNA from 1 species
UACGUAGGGUGCAAGCGUUGUCCGGAAUUAUUGGGCGUAAAGAGCUCGUAGGCGGUUUGUUGCGUCGGCUGUGAAAUCCCGAGGCUCAACCUCGGGUCUGCAGUCGAUACGAGCAAACUAGAGUGUUGCAGGGGAGACUGGAAUUCCUGGUGUAGCGGGUGAAAUGCGCAGAUAUCAGGAGGAAUACCGGUGGCGAAAGCGACUCUCUGGACGGCAACUGACGCUGAGGCACGAAAGCGUGGGGAGCAAACAGG